rnacentral:rRNA from 1 species
UACGUAGGGUGCGAGCGUUGUCCGGAAUUAUUGGGCGUAAAGGGCUCGUAGGCGGUCUGUCACGUCGGGAGUGAAAACACGGGGCUUAACCCCGUGCCUGCUUCCGAUACGGGCAGACUAGAGGUAUGCAGGGGAGAACGGAAUUCCUGGUGUAGCGGUGAAAUGCGCAGAUAUCAGGAGGAACACCGGUGGCGAAGGCGGUUCUCUGGGCAUUACCUGACGCUGAGGCGCGACAGCGUGGGGAGCAAACAGG